rnacentral:rRNA from 1 species
UACGUAGGGUGCGAGCGUUGUCCGGAAUUAUUGGGCGUAAAGAGCUCGUAGGCGGCUUGUCGCGUCGGUUGUGAAAGCCCGGGGCUUGACCCCGGGUCUGCAUUCGAUACGGGCAGGCUUGAGUGUGGUAGGGGAGAUCGGAAUUCCUGGUGUAGCGGUGAAAUGCGCAGAUAUCAGGAGGAACACCGGUGGCGAAGGCGGAUCUCUGGGCCAUUACUGCCGCUGAGCAGCGAAAGCGUGGGGAGCGAACAGG